GACGAACGCUGGCGGCGUGCUUAACACAUGCAAGUCGAACGGUGAAGCGCCUUCCUUUUUGGUGGGUGUGGAUGAGUGGCGAACGGGUGAGUAACACGUGAGUAACCUGCCCCCUUCUUCUGGAUAACCGCAUGAAAGUGUGGCUAAUACGGGAUAUUCUGGGUCUGUCGCAUGAUGGGUCUGGGAAAGAUAUUGUUUCGGUGGGGGAUGGGCUCGCGGCCUAUCAGCUUGUUGGUGGGGUGAUGGCCUACCAAGGCGGUGACGGGUAGCCGGCCUGAGAGGGUGGACGGUCACACUGGGACUGAGACACGGCCCAGACUCCUACGGGAGGCAGCAGUGGGGAAUAUUGGACAAUGGGCGCAAGCCUGAUGCAGCGACGCCGCGUGAGGGAUGGAGGCCUUCGGGUUGUGAACCUCUUUCGCCAGUGAAGCAGGCCUGCCUCGUUUGUGGGUGGGUUGACGGUAGCUGGAGAAGAAGCGCCGGCUAACUACGUG
rnacentral:rRNA from 1 species